GUUUGUUUACAAUCUCAAACAAAAGCGAAUUCAUUUAUUCCUUUGAAUUUUUUGUAAUCGGUGAUAAUAGUUCGGAGUGAUUGAACUGCAACUAAAAAGAUUUGCAUUGUAAUAAAGGAUCGGACCAAAGAGAAGUCGGAACGAAUUGCAGCCUGGUCAUCAUCUGGCCCUACAGACUCCCACGGACUUCCAGCGUACUCUCCCUUCUCUGCUCAACUCGGUGAACUCCGGGCCGUUUCAGGUAUUUUAGGACCUACACUUCACAAGGAUUGCUCGUAGUUUUAAUUGUUGUUAGAGACAAUCUGUGGAUCCCAAACAACAAUCGGAUGCAUGAUAUAUGCCCAAAGAAUUUCCCUGCAAAUCUUCAAUCUCGUAACAGGACGAUCCGAUUUUUCCUACUACCUUCGCCAAGGAAAACGUAUCUGCCAAUUUCGCAGAAAAAUUUUUGGAUUUAUUGGACUGGACAAAGUUUUUCUUCAUCACCGUUUCUCCUAUUUCAAACGUUGUCUCAAUUUCCAAGAUGUGAAGUGUGAUGCAGAACAAUUCGGUGGAGCUUCGAAAUGAAAAUGAAAUCCAAUUUACCCAAUACAAAUUCAAAUAAACUUCGAGGAAGUUGUAACUUAAGUCUUCAAAACUAUGAAUUUCAAAUAACUUAUCCGAAUAUUUAUUUUACAAAAAACUAAUAAUUCAAAUUUUAACCACUAAACUAACCCUAUUAAUAAUAAAUUCAAUUCAAUAUAUCUACAAAUUCAAAUAACAAUAAUAAUAUAUACAAUUGUUUUUUUAGAACCAAACCGUUAGUUGGGCGCCAAAUGUAACGGGAGGAAGGAUAUCGAGGACAAGGAGGCGAUACAACCUUCACUUAAGCGCCAGGCAAGUUAUUACACUUGCCGUGAAGGAGCGAGAUUUGUCUCUUCAGUUUCCCGUGCCCGACCGUGAGACCUCAGGGCGAGUUCCUACCAACGAUCUUCAACCCACACUUGAAUUGUCUUGGCGCUCACCAAGGAAUAGAAUUCAAUCAAAUUGGUAUUCAAAACAUCCAGGAUGGAAAAGUUUCCUUUGAAGGUUUGCCUUCCCAGAGCCUAUGCUACCUCGAACCCGAAAACCGAACAAUUGAAAAGCCUCCAAACAGCCAAAAUUCAAUCAACAUAAAUUAUAAUGUGAAAUACAGUAUCUAUACAGUUGUUUUCUAUUAAAUUCAAAUUAUCCCUAAUCACAAAUUUGCCUUAACUCUAGUACUUGCAAGUAUUUUUUUUCUGUGGCUCCCUCGGUGGUCGAGAACAAGUGCACUUGCUGCUACGCUGAGUGGUGUCUUCGCUAGAUGGUAACGCACGUAAUGGUGUAUGCGCUUUCUCCGGAUUGUUGUGUGACUUUUUCCGGGCUUAUCGUGCGCGACACACGGCCUUCCCGGAUGCCAAAGGUCGAACCGGCCAAAGUAUAGGGAUUUCAACACUCCCAGAUUGGCACCUUCGCUUGAAGGAAUUUCAUCUUCAAGCGAAAACUCAAUUAGGCCUAAUUGUAAAUUCAUACUUUUUGUAUAGUUACCUUAACUAAUACACCACUCAAAAUAAAAUCUUUCUCUAUAAUUUUCUCGACUUUCACUGUGAUUCUUUUACUUCAUCUAGAUCUAAAUUCAAAUUCAAAUUUCAAUCAUUAAUCACUUU